rnacentral:rRNA from 1 species
UACGGAGGAUGCGAGCGUUAUCCGGAAUUAUUGGGCGUAAAGAGCGCGCAGGUGGUUGAUUAAGUCUGAUGUGAAAGCCCACGGCUUAACCGUGGAGGGUCAUUGGAAACUGGUCGACUUGAGUGCAGAAGAGGGAAGUGGAAUUCCAUGUGUAGCGGUGAAAUGCGUAGAGAUAUGGAGGAACACCAGUGGCGAAGGCGGCUUCCUGGUCUGUAACUGACACUGAGGCGCGAAAGCGUGGGGAGCAAACAGGAUUAGA